rnacentral:lncRNA from 1 species
AUAAGACAACAAUAAUGUAGCUACGAACAUGAUUGCAUUUACAUUUCCAGCCCUCAUCAUGCAUGUGAGGAAAUUGAUACUCUUCAAUAGUUUUGCAUGCAGAGUUGCAUACAUUGUUGCUGGUGUUGUUUUUAAUGUAUUGCUAACAUUGGAGAACAGAAAACGACUUUUAAGAGCCUAAAUCCUAUUCCCUUUCUGGCUUCACUAAUGUACGAUGGAGGCUUACAACAAAUAAAUUCAAGUGUUCAUCAAGAGGUGUACAAUACUAAACAAAAUGCUUAUUGUAAUAUGACUCUACACAUUCGUUUGUCAUGGAUCUAUUUAGCACCAUGAAAUUAAGAUAGAUUUAAUUCCAUAGUUGGUAACAUCAACCGCACAAGAUAAUUUGUCUACCACAGAUCAAUUUCGUAGGACUUAUGUUUACAGUUGAGAAUGUCCUGUCCAAUGGUUCACCUAAUUAGAGGGGGUUUCACUUCUUGCAAGCUGAAUUCUCAUGAAUUCUGAUCAUCUAUAUCUCUCGGCUGAAUAUUGAUCGAGCCUUGUUCAUCUAGAUGCGUUGAACCUGGUUCAUCUCUUGGCAGGCGAGUAGAGGAAUAUUGAGGCAAUACAAAAUAGAAUAGAUGAUGUAGGAUUGAUGAGAGGACAUAGUGUAAUGUGUACACAACUCCCGGCCCUUAUUCGAAUCAAUCAAGUACUGCUCUGCUUCUUUUCGCUACCAAACCAAGCGAUUAACCUACUUGCUUAUCGGAAUCACACCCUGUCCCUGACGUAUCGACUUCGACACCCCCUUCACCAAAGAUCAUAGUACUACUCCAAGUACAUU